GCUCUCCUCAGCCCGGCCUCCCGGCGCCCGAGUCGCCGCGCUGUCAAUCCGCGCGCGCCGCCAGCAGCUGCUCCGCGCACGCUCCGCCCGUCUCGCCCGGCGCGAGCCGCUCCGGAGUCCUGCGGAACGGAGGCCACCGUCUCGCAGGCGCUCGGCGUGCCCGGGUCACCCCCUCCUCCGGACUUUUAAAGCCAGCGGUUUACCAGAACGCUUCCCAGCGAGCCUGGGAACUCGGCGAGCGCUGCGCAGCCGGGCGUUAUCGCCUCGGCGCAGAUGGGACCAGGACGGCUGCGGGAACUCGUGCCUCCUGCCUGCCCACCGUGGAGUCCCGGGAAGCAGCCAGCAUCGAGGACUUCCCACACAGUUGCCUUCGGCUCGUGGUCACUUGUACUUCCGUAGUUAUUCCCGUCAAACUUUUAUUUCAUGGGCGUUGAAAAAUCAAAUACUAGCCGCUGCUAGUGGAGUCCUCACGUAACCGUGACACUAGAGAACUGGAGGCUGGAGUUCAAGGUCAUCCUUGGCUACAAAAUGAGGUCGAGACUUGUCUGGGCUACAGGGCGGCGACGGUGGUGAUGAAGAAGGAGCAGCCAAGGGAGAGAAAAAGAGGAAGAAAAAGACUCCAUACUGAACUCAUCCUUUGAACAACAACAACAAAAUAGCAGUAGAUACCUAAUUUUAGGAAAGAACUGUAUGCAAAGACCGAGGCUAGUAGUUUUCAACCCUGGCGGCACAUUAGAGACACCCGGAAAAGUUUUCAUUAGAAGAGUUUUAGAUCCACAGCAAAUUGAACAGAAAGUACAGAGAAUAAGUUAUGGCUACCCUGUUCUGUAUCAUGUGUUCCUGGCCAGGUAGGGCUAAGGACAGAGAGUUCCCACUGAUCUCUUUGUUUAUGGUUUUGCCCUUUCCAAAAUAUCGUUUCUAGUUGGAAUUAUUCACUAACACUCUUUAAGGAUCCUCUGUGCCUGGAAUCUACCUUCACAGACUAUGAACGGCUCAUGCAGAAAUUUCCAAAGUUCCCCAACAGGAAAAAUACUUUCUAACAAUGUAGCUACCACAGGACUGUGGCCAGAACAAAUGAAAAACUCUUCAAACCCAAGAAUAAGAAAAAACCUUGCCAGGCAGUGGUGGCGCACACCUUUAAUCCCAGCACUUGGGAGGCAGAGGCAGGUGGACUUCUGAGUUGAGGCCAUCCUGGACUACAGAGUGAGUUCCAGGACAGCCAGAGCUACACAGAGAAACCCUGUCUCAGAAAAGAAAAAAGAAAAGAAAAAAACCUUAAUUAGAAAUUGUAAAAGACUGGAGACAUUUAACCAAGAAGACAUCCCAGUGGCUGGCGAGAAAGCAUAUGAAAGAUGCUUAACAUUAUCUGGCCUUGAGAAAUUGAAGAUACUCACUGGUGGUCUGUGCGUUUGGUUCCCAGUACCCAUAUCAGGCAGCUCACAUCUGAUGCCUCUGGCCUCUACAAGCACCUGCGUUUACAUGCAUUCACCCACACACAGGCAUGCACAUGUGCACAUAAUGUAAAAGUAAUUUAAAUAAAUCUUUGAGGAAAAGAAAUUUUAAAAUAAUACUCUAGAGCUAUAGAUAACAGCUCAGUUGGUAGGGUACUUACCUACUACACACAAAGCCUGGGUUCUCUGUCCAGGACUGGAUAGAACCAGGCCCUAAAACUGGGAUUGGUGGGACAGACGGACAGACUUUUAAUUUCCAUCACAGGCAGAAGAAGCAGUUCAAGAGCUUCCUCAGCUACAUAAUGAACUUCCUCAGCUACAUAAUGAACUGGGUUCCAGCCUAGAAUACAUAGAAUGACCGUGUCUGAAGAAGGGAAAAGAGGGCAGAGGGAAGGAAGGGAACACUCGAGACUUCUAAACAUCAUUAGAAGGGCGAAAAACCAAAGCCCAAUAACACCAAACGCUGGAAGGGUGUGAUUCAGCCGGAGCGCUCUUGGUACCCGUGGAAAGUAAUAGUGCCCCUGUGUAAGAUAAAAAAAGGCUCUGGUUUUGUAAAAGCAGGCAUGGGCAAAGCCAAGAACCUAGGACCCACAUGAAAGCCCACAGGCAGUGACAGGUGCCUGCGGUCCCGGCGCCUCCCGCGGAGAGCUAGGAAACAGAAGAAUCACCUGGAAUCUUACAGGCCAGCUCUCCAGGGGCGGGGCGUGAUGCAGGGCAGAAAGGAGAGAGAGAGAACCAACUCCCGAACCUUGUAGAGGUUUGUUUUCCCUUUAGAAGUUGCUUUAUCUAUGAGCGAGGCAUGGGGGCACCCACCUUUAAUUCCUGCACUCAGGAGUCAGAAGCAGGAAGGUCUCUGUGAGUUUGAGGUCAGCCGGGGAAAGCUACAUAGUGAGACCCUGUGUUCAACAAGACAAAUUUGUUAUGUACAAAUAACAGGCAACAUUCUAUCCAUGAGUCCUAUUUUCUAAGACCUUAAAAAAAAAAAAAAAAGAAAAGAAAGAAAAUAGACAAUACUUUUUAAAAGGCAAGAAGAGUCUUCUGCUUCUAGAUGAUUGCUGGGCUAGAGAGAGAGGGAAGUUUGUUGAACCGAAAGUGACAACUUAGAAUUGCAUAUUCUCCAGAACAGGAAUAGUAAGGUGACGAUUGGGGGCACCUAAGAGUACUGGCU
rnacentral:lncRNA from 1 species